UGAAACUUAACGAAGUUUCAUGAUGCAAUUAAAUAAAGUAAUAAAUAAAAAUACUUGACUCACCUGAAAACAGUUAUAACAAACACAGUGAAGAUGGUUUUAGAUGUUAUAUCUUCUAAAGCGCAUUCGAUAAUGCCACUUUUGGGACCGAAAUUCACUUGUUCGAUUUUGCGUUACUGUUUCAGGUUCGUCCAAUCAGAUUCGUUAAACAAUCAAGCUAUCUUAGUUACCCUGAUAUUUUGGGGUAAAAAGGGGCGUGGAAAGGUCUUUGCUGGACAGGACAAAGAACCCUAAUUGACCAGGUUACCUAGACAUAUGUUGUUUACACAACAACUUGUUUGUGUUUACCGGACAAUAGAAUUGGUAAAAAAAACAUGUCUAAUUGUGUCCACUUAGCUUGUCGCUAAACAUCUUAAAUUGAUAAAAAAAUAAAGCCUAACAAAGAGAAAAUCUAAAGUGACAAAUGCCAAAAU
rnacentral:lncRNA from 1 species